rnacentral:lncRNA from 1 species
GCCAUAUUGCCUCAGUUAAGCAAAAACAUUCACCAUGAAAUACUUUGUGAUUGCGUUCUUCGUGUUUUCUUUGUUUCAAGUGGUACUGCUACAAAAUGUGAGAAAUGAAGGUGACGGUUCUUCAUCAGAGAAUAAAAUUAAAAUGUCUGCAUCCACGCUCCUGCGAACUAUCAAUUUUGUAAACGACGCAUUUAAUGAAAAGAGUUUCCAUGAUGGAGUGACUGAUGAUCAACAGCAACUUAUAAGACCAUAGCAUUAUUUCCCUAAGGCAACUAGUUAUAGGUGGAAAUCUUGGCAAGAGGAAAGGUUUCAAGUGUGGAUAAAAGUUCUCGAUAAAAAGACUCUCGACAGAGGACAAGAAUAUAUAAAAAAAAACUUGCGGUUGUGCCAAAGGCACUUUGAGAGCUGUUAUAAAUUGUAUAAAGGUGCUUUAUGUAGAACUGCAAUUCCAACUUUCAAUCUAGAACGUUAUACACCGGAUAUUCAUAAAACCAUGGAUGUAAUGGCAGAAACAAGCACAUAUGUCACCGAUAUUACUAAAGUAUUUUCGGACCAUAACUACUGCCUUACAAGUAGGCCCCGAAAACACGCGGUAUACAAUACUCAAAUUGGUUUAUUCCAAAAAAAUAUAAAAAAAUUACGUAGUGAAAUAUGUCGUCUGCGUAAAAGAGGUGAAGUAUUUAACAGCGCUUACAGAGCGCUGAAAAGUUGUCUGAUAAUGUAGCCGUUCAAAGAAUAACUAAAAAUAUGACAAAACCAGCACAGUUGUUUGUUCACAUGCAGCUACAGACGAAAAAAAAAGCGAAGGGAAGACGAUUUUCGCUAGAGGAAAAAAAUUUGUCAUUGUCUUUAUUCAAAAAAAGUCCUAAGUGUUACAAACUUUUAUGCAAGUAUUUUACUCUACCAUCAUCAAGAACGAUGAAACGAGUACUAAGCUAAAUUAAUAUAAUUCCAGGAAUAAAUCCUAUAAUUUUUAAAAGGUUGAAAAUUACACUGUUGGAAAAGGAUAAUAAUAAUCGUUUUUUCACUGUUCUUUUCGACGAAAUGUCAAUUACUCCCCAUGUGUCAUAUGAUCCAUACAAAGAUGAAAUACAAGGGUUUGCUUCAAAUAACAAAUGCUCUUUUUCUAACCACGCUUUGGUUUCUAUGAUAAAAGGCAUAAAAAAUGAUUUUAAGCAGCCAAUAGCAUAUUAUUUUACAAAUGCACUUAAUAAGAUAGAAUUAAAAAUACUAAUACGAACUGUCUUGGAACAUGCUUUUGAUGCUGGACUUAACGUAAUUAGCACAACAUGCGACCAGGCACCCGUUAAUGUCGGUGCCAUAAUAGAGUUGGUUAAUGAAACUAAAGCUAUAUAUUUACAGAAAGGAAAAGAUUGGUAUCAUGACAUAAUACGCAUUAAAGGACAAAUAAUAACCCCGUUAUAUGAUGUUCCCCAUUUAAUAAAAGGCCUUCGUAAUAAUCUACUUACUAAGGACCUUAUCUAUAUAAUAAUAAUAUCAGUCCUGUAUUAUAUACUUGACCACUGACUGACUUAUACCACUGCUGAGCA